rnacentral:rRNA from 1 species
GGUUAGUUUGGUUCUGGUUACCUUUGCUUGGUUAUUAGUUUGGUCGAUUAACACAUGGUAGUUUAUGCGUAGAAUGCGUAUGCCGGUUCUUUUUUGCUUUUAGUCUUGAGAUAGAUUGUUUGUGAAAAAGUUCACGGUUUAUAAUCAGAGUAACUCUAGAACUAUUAAUAAUUGAAUUCAUACCUCCAGUGGAUAGAUUUUAACCAUAAGCGUAAGCUUGAUUGAGCUAUUGUUUAUUAGGGGAGUCCAACCAGGUGCCAGCAGUCGCGGUUAAACCUGAGUAGCCCGAGCCAAGUGGGACAGUGUAAAAGGUGGUUAGACGGCCUAUCUUAAAAUUAUUUAAGUAACAAUAAUUAAUAUGGAAAAAAGAAGGACGACCUGAAAGAGUAGGGGUGUAAUCUUAUGUAUUUUUUUGAGGGAAGGGGAGCAUCUUUCUUUAGGCUGAGUCCACGGAACCGGUUAACUGAAGACAUGGAUUAGAUACCCAUUUAUUGCCGAUGCAAACUUUGCUUUUAGUGCAGCUGCUUGGGUACUACGAGCGAGUGCUUAAAACUCAAAGAACUUGGCGGCUUGUUAACUACCUAGGGGAAUAUGCGCCUUAAUCCGAUGGUCCCCGCUAUAUCUUACUGAGUCUUGAAAAAGUGCAGCUGGUGUAUUGCCGUUGUCAGCUUGUUGUUCGAGCAGAGAGAAACAGGCUUAAUGGUUUUUAUUUGAUAAGUUUCAUAAAAAUCCAUGAAUUCAGGUCGUAAUACUGCCUAUGGCUCAAGGGAGCGGGUGUUACAAUUUAUACUUAGAAUUACGGAUCUUUAUUGUGGAAUCUUAAAGUGAAGGUGAACUUAGGAGUAAGGAGAGAUUAAUAUGCUUUCCUGAACAUGAAUCUAACUCGUGUACAAACUGCCCGUCGCUCUCGGUGAGAACUGAGAUAAGUCGUAACAAGGUAGGGGUACUGGAAGGUGCGCCCUGAUAAAA